rnacentral:lncRNA from 1 species
GGAGCACAUGGGAACGGGCCACGCGGCCGAGCGGGCCUGCUCGCGCUCUCCAGGCUGGCUGCGCCCGACUCGGGAGUCGGAGCCAUUAACGUCACCCCUGACUUACAGGGCGAAGGAGAGGGGUCCCUAUCCACCUCGAGGACGCGCCGACGCUGCCGGCUCCCUGGCGCUCCGCGGGCCUGGCCCCUCCGGGGCCCCGCCUGGGUGACCUUGGGCGAGCCGCCCUCACCUCCGCGGGCCGCGCCGGGCUCCUCCCCGCGGGCCCUGGCCUGGACACUGCCCGCAGUCGGGUUCGACGCCCGGCCCGAAGGCAAGCCCUUAACCCUUGGGGACAAGGGUGCCUACAAAGUGGGGACGGAAUUACCAACAGCCCCCCCACCCCCCCCCACCCGGCCAAGCCCCUGAAACCCAGUAUUUAUAAGGCAGGAAACGUCUUUUCUUUCAAGUGAAUUUCGCUUUUCCUAAAGAAUUGCUUUGGGCGGAGUUAAACCAGGGCUGGAUUGGGACUCAGAGAUCUGAGAUUUUUAUCCUGGCCCUGCCCCUUACAAACUAUGCACCAGGUAUCUCUCUCCUCCGUGGGCCUCAGUUUCUCUAUCGUAAAAUGAACCAGUGGUGUAGGACAGUGAUUUCAAACUUCAGUGCACAUUCAAUAAAUAUUUACUAACCUCAUAGGGUGGGGGCCUGCAGGGUUCUAGGAAACGGGGUUUGGCAAUCAAUCAGGCUAGCAAGUUCUCUGUCCUCACGGAAUUUACACUCUAAGGUGGAGAAAGACCAUAAACGAGGUGAUAAGUGCUUGUGUAGUAUCUAUGAAGACAGUAACUACUACAGUGGUAGGUUAGACUCUAGCAGCUCCUUUAGUAUGGAUGAUGAAGGAAAACUUUGAAUACAGAUUCCAAAUGUUUUAGAAUUAAGUAUGCCUGGUACAGGACCUAGAAAGUGUCUAAGAACCCCCGGCCCCGCCCCCCCUUGGGUGCUUACCCAUCAGAUGGCCCUACAAUUCACUGGGAGAAUUCCUGGCCUCUUUGGCUGUGAUCCUGCUUGCUCAAGACAUAACAGCCUGGGAUGUCGGCCAUCUCCAAAGGCAAGGAUCAGAACACAGGACCUGCUGGAUACCGGAGGAGGCUUAUGAGAGACAGAGGAAGCUGCCCCAGGGACCGGGGACUGAGAGACCAAGGGACCAAGGGACCAGAGAGCCCAGAGACCAGCCCAUCUUUGGCUUUGCCGAAUGACUUUGGACAGCCUCUCUACCUUCCUGGGCUUCCAUUUCUCCAUCCACAAAACGAAAAUUCCACCUUGGCCCUGAAGAGACCUGUGGUUUGGCAGUGAGGUAGGCAUGGCCAAGAGAGCUGUUUUCACUUGGCUCCAAGACCUGCUGGGGAAGAGGAGCAGCAGACUUGACAAGUCCUGAAGGACAGAAGUGGAUCACCAAUGGAUGAAUAUUUCAGGAAGCAGAUUUCAGCCCAACACCAGAAUGCACUUUCUGACUCAACAUGUCAACCGUGGAGGUCUAUUGUCAGAAGUAUUCAAGAGGCCAAAUGGCCAUCCAUUCAGGAGAUGCUUGGGAAGGGAAGAUGAAUUUCUGAGAUAUAUUCCAGCUUGGGGUCAAUGACUAUACUGGUUUAGGAUUUAGGAUCCAAUCAUAAGAUUAAUAACAUACUAAAUAUUAGUUGAAUUCAUAACUGAAUAAAUGAUCCCUUCAAUUU